AUUGAACGCUGGCGGCAGGCUUAACACAUGCAAGUCGAGCGGGGGAAGGUAGCUUGCUACUGGACCUAGCGGCGGACGGGUGAGUAAUGCUUAGGAAUCUGCCUAUUAGUGGGGGACAACAUCUCGAAAGGGAUGCUAAUACCGCAUACGUCCUACGGGAGAAAGCAGGGGAUAUUCGGACCUUGCGCUAAUAAAUUAGCCUAAGUCGGAUUAGACAGUUGGUGGGGUAAAGGCCUACCAAGGCGACGAUCUGUAGCGGGUCUGAGAGGAUGAUCCGCCACACUGGGACUGAGACACGGCCCAGACUCCUACGGGAGGCAGCAGUGGGGAAUAUUGGACAAUGGGGGGAACCCUGAUCCAGCCAUGCCGCGUGUGUGAAGAAGGCCUUAUGGUUGUAAAGCACUUUAAGCGAGGAGGAGGCUACUCUAGUUAAUACCUAGGGAUAGUGGACGUUACUCGCAGAAUAAGCACCGGCUAACUCUGCGCCAGCCGCCGCCGUAA
rnacentral:rRNA from 1 species